rnacentral:rRNA from 1 species
CCCUAGUAACGGCGAGUGAAGCGGCAACAGCUCAAAUUUGAAAUCUGGCUUCGGCCCGAGUUGUAAUUUGCAGAGGAAGCUUUAGGCGCGGCACUUUCUGAGUCCCCUGGAACGGGGCGCCAUAGAGGGUGAGAGCCCCGUAUAGUUAGAUGCCUAGCCUGUGUAAAGCUCCUUCGACGAGUCGAGUAGUUUGGGAAUGCUGCUCAAAAUGGGAGGUAAAUUUCUUCUAAAGCUAAAUACCGGCCAGAGACCGAUAGCGCACAAGUAGAGUGAUCGAAAGAUGAAAAGCACUUUGAAAAGAGGGUUAAAUAGCACGUGAAAUUGUUGAAAGGGAAGCGCUUGUGACCAGACUUGCGCCGGGCAGAUCAUCCGGUGUUCUCACCGGUGCACUCUGCCCGGCUCAGGCCAGCAUCGGUUCUCGCGGGGGGAUAAAGGCCCUGGGAACGUAGCUCCUCCGGGAGUGUUAUAGCCCGGGGCGUAAUGCCCUCGCGGGGACCGAGGUUCGCGCAUCUGCAAGGAUGCUGGCGUAAUGGUCAUCAGCGACCCGUCUUGAAACACGGACCAAGGAGUCAAGGUUUUGCGCGAGUGUUUGGGUGUAAAACCCGCACGCGUAAUGAAAGUGAACGUAGGUGAGAGCUUCGGCGCAUCAUCGACCGAUCCUGAUGUUUUCGGAUGGAUUUGAGUAGGAGCGUUAAGCCUUGGACCCGAAAGAUGGUGAACUAUGCUUGGAUAGGGUGAAGCCAGAGGAAACUCUGGUGGAGGCUCGCAGCGGUUCUGACGUGCAAAUCGAUCGUCAAAUCUGAGCAUGGGGGCGAAAGACUAAUCG